AAUGAUCUCCUGAAGUACAGAGAGUCAAGAUGAAAAUGGACUUGUUCAUGAUGAUUUCCCACUUCUUUUUGGAGUUUCAUAUCAUCUUUAUUCAGGUCUUGCCCCUGCC